CUUAGAAUGCGACCAGUGUAGACAGUAAACCGGUGUGGUCCUUGAGUUCACACUCACCAGGGCAGAAAGGACUGGCGCAGGAGACAUAGUUUUCCACUGUUAGCACGGUUCAGAGCAAGGCUUCCGUGUGAUCUCCAAGCGCCGUGCCUAGUUUGCUGUGGCUUCCGCCCGCCCCGCCCUGGCCCUGCAAGCCUCUCCCUGCGCCUUGAUGCCGCAGGGCGCCUUCUGCUGCUGCUGGGGCGGUGGGCGGCCAGGCAGCUGGAGGAGCCCACGACGAGGACCAGGAUGAGAAUGAAGACGGGACCGAGACGCCCCCAGAUCAUGGCGUCUCUGCGGAAACCGACACAUAGACGAAGGACCUUGUAUACAGAGCUAUUUUACAGAAAUUGCGAGUGGCACCAUGGUAUUUUUUGUGGAGCCUCACCCUCUCCUGGGCCCGCACCCCGUCGUCCUCCUCAGUCCCUGGGCAGACAUUCAUAAGCCCGUUACCGGUGACUCUAGCCAAAAAAAAAAAAAAAAAAAAAAAAACAGAGGAGAGACCCUUCUCUGGCACCUAUAACAAUCUCUUUUCUCUGAGGGUCGCCCCUUUGCUGCUGGGUGUCUCCCACUUGGGAGAGUCCCUAUCAGGACACUCAUUUAUUCAACAAGUCUGGCUGUGUAGGUCCCCAUGCUUUGUACUCAAGUAUGGGUGCUAGGUAAGGGGAUAGGAACAGGAUGCCCACCUUUGGGGUAGACCCCUCAGAUUCUACUACAGUAUGAUUUUUGAGCCCUCUGGUGUUUAAGAAACCAGACAGUCCGUGGACACCCAAGCAUGGGAAAAGCCCCAAGUCCUCCCUGCACUCAGGCUGGGGUGCCUAAGCUAAGGGGGUCCUGACAGAGAACAGAGCCAGCUCUUGGGGACCCUGGAGGUUUGCUAGUGUGUGAAUGUGUACCCCCAAAAGUUCAUGUCUUGGAAACUUGGUCCCCGGCACAGCAGCCCUGAGAGAGGAGCGCUCUGCCAGGGCCUUUGUGAACAGGUUUAAUCCUUUCGAGGAUUAAUAAGUUGUCUUGAGUAUAGCUUUGUUAUAAAGGCAAGUUCCCUUGGGCAUGCUUGUUCAGUCUGCAUGUGAUACCUCCACGUGUCAUGACAUAGCACAAAGCCAUCAGACACAGCAAACACCAGGCAUUAGGUGCUAGUCCCAUUCUCUCAAACUUUCCUGACUCCAGAACCAUGAGCUAAAUAAAACUCUGUUCUCUCUA
ensembl:sense_overlapping Gm20621 predicted gene 20621